rfam:Schistosoma mansoni strain Puerto Rico chromosome 2, complete genome
GCACUGCUGAGGAGUCCCACAAUAGGACAAAACGGUCUUCCGGUGC